rnacentral:rRNA from 1 species
GCAUAUUAAUAAGCGGAGGAAAAGAAACUAACAAGGAUUCCCCUAGUAACUGCGAGUGAAGCGGGAACAGCUCAAGCUUAAAAUCUGCAAGUAGUAAAUGACUUGCCGAGUUGUAGCUUAUGGAGGCAGUUAUCGACCUUACAACAUAGUAAAAGUCCUUUUGAAUAAGGCAUCAAAGAGGGUGAAAAUCCCGUAAUUGACUAUGUUAAAAAAAGUAGGGAAAUGUGAACUGUUUUCUUUGAGUCGCGGUUGUUUGGGAAUGCAGCCCUAAUUAGGAGGUAAAUUUCUUCUAAAGCUAAAUAUAAGCAAGAGACCGAUAGCWAACAAGUACCGUGAGGGAAAGAUGAAAAGCACUUUGAAAAGAGAGUGAAAAGUACGUGAAAUUGUUGAAAGGGAACCAGUUGGUAGCCAAGCUUCAUGUUUUGSGUAUUUAUUUACCUGAUUUAUGAGGUCAACAUCGGUUGUCAGUUUCGCCUGAGAGGAAAUUAUGUAGGUUAGCGGGGUAASGUAGAGCAAGUUGUUUACUAGUUUCGGCUGGUAAAUUAAGCAACUUGUUUGUUAUAGACCCCAUGGACUUACUGUUUAUGCCUAGAGGUGGAGACGACCGAGGAACGCAGUGUUUGUUCUGCAAAGAACGAGUGGAGAGAUUUAGGSGGAUUUGUUUUGUUAUGUUUUAUAGACAGCUUGCUGACUAUGAUUAUAAUGAGACUUGUUUAGCCUUGAAUUUCUACCCAGAAACACUUGGGAUGUUGGCGAAAAGGCACCAAUUGACCCGUCUUGAAACACSGACC